rnacentral:rRNA from 1 species
AUUGAACGCUGGCGGCAUGCCUAACACAUGCAAGUCGAACGGGGUGUAGCAAUACAUCUAGUGGCGGACGGGUGAGGAAUACAUAGGAAUUUGCCCUUAAGUGGGGGAUAGUCCGGGGAAACUCGGUUUAAUACCGCAUGAUCUCGUGAGAGCAAAGCAGGGGACCGCAAGGCCUUGCGCUUUUGGAGAAGCCUAUGUCGGAUUAGCUAGUUGGUAGGGUAAUGGCCUACCAAGGCAACGAUCCGUAACUGGUCUGAGAGGAUGAUCAGUCACACCGGAACUGAGACACGGUCCGGACUCCUACGGGAGGCAGCAGUGGGGAAUAUUGGACAAUGGGCGCAAGCCUGAUCCAGCAAUGCCGCGUGUGUGAAGAAGGCC